rnacentral:rRNA from 1 species
GAUCAUGGCUCAGGAUGAACGCUAGCGGCAGGCUUAACACAUGCAAGUCGAGGGGCAUCGCGGUGUAGCAAUACACUGGCGGCGACCGGCGAAAGGGUGAGUAACGCGUGAGCAACAUACCCGGCACUGGGGGAUAGUCAUUGGAAACGAUGCGUAAUACCCCGUAAUACAUGGAGCGGCAUCGCUUCAUGUUAAGAGAUUUAUCGAUACCGGAUUGGCUCGCGUACCAUUAGCUAGUUGGCGGGUAACGGCCCACCAAGGCGACGAUGGUUAGGGGUUCUGAGAGGAAGGUCCCCCACAUUGGAACUGAGACACGGUCCAGACUCCUACGGGAGGCAGCAGUGAGGAAUAUUGGUCAAUGGCCGAGAGGCUGAACCAGCCAUGCCGCGUGCCGGGAAGACGGCCCUAUGGGUUGUAAACCGCUUUUGUCGGGGAGCAAUAAGUCUUACGAGUAAGAUGAUGAGAGUACCUGGCGAAUAAGCAUCGGCUAACUCCGUGCCAGCAGCGGC